AUUCAUGAAUACCGUGCAUGGAAUUGGAAAGCUGUAGUUGUGGCGUCGUUGAUCCUCUUGGUAGUUCCAUUUCUUCCUAACAGUCUUGGGUCUCUUUUGUUCCCCUCUUAUCCACCAGGUCACCAGCAAAUCAAGCAAGGGACCUGUGAGGUGGUUGCAGUGCACAGGUGCUGUAACAAGAACCGCAUAGAGGAGCGAUCCCAGACGGUCAAGUGUUCUUGCUUCCCAGGACAGGUUGCUGGCACGACUCGGGCUCAGCCCUCUUGUGUUGAAGCUUCCAUUGUGAUUCAGAAAUGGUGGUGUCACAUGGAUCCUUGUUUGGAAGGAGAGGACUGCCGAGUGCUGCCCGAUUACUCAGGUUGGUCCUGUAGCAGUGGCAACAAAGUCAAAACUACCAAGGCAAGUAUAGACGGAAUGCAACUGCACGCAACAGCUUCCGCACGCUGUAGCCUGCCCCCUACAUUCAUCCUGCCGCCAAGAGGGAGGGUAAAGUUCCGUGGGCAAUGCCCCGCUAGGAGUGGGGCCCUGUGAAAGGCCCAUUUCUCAGCAUCACCCUCCAUUUCGGAUUUAUGGAGUCGUGACUGGUGGAGGGAUGCCUUAUCUGAAGCAGGGCUCCUGAAUUCAUUUCAGCUCCUUCACGGGCCAAUUUAAAGUAAAGGUUUCACAGUUGACAGUCCCGUGCAUCAAACGAGUGUAGCCAGACCCCACAUCCUGGUGACUCACUGAAAUAGAAUACCUGCCACCUCGGUGGAGAUUUAGUCUGGCUGAAUUGGCUGAAGACUCCAAGUCAAGCCUUUGUAAGUCGUGUUUCCUCCCCAUUCAUCCUCGUUCUAGUUGUGUCUCUGAAACACUCCAUUUUCUACCCAGUUCUUGAGCCAGGAACUGCACUUCUUUCUCCUCUCCUGCCGUCCACGCUCUUGUUUUGUCUUAGGGACUGGUACUUCCACGCCCCGCCCCCUCUCUGCAUCACCAUAGUUACCAUCCCCGGGUGGUCUCUGCUGUGUCUGGAUGACCAAGGUUGCUUCCUCAUAUCCACUCUUGCUUCCCUUCCUGCCUGUUCUCCAUAGAAUGGAGUCAUUUUUGUCAAUUGCAGAUCUGCUAAGCUAGUCCACCCCCAAAUCUCUUGAGUGGCUUCUCUGUGCUCCUUAGCUCCCCUCUGCUUGUGUGGCCCUCACUAAAACACUCCGCAGAGCACCUACCUUUGUUCUUUCUGCUCCAACCAUCUCAGCCUCGGUUAGUCCUUCCCGUGGCGCAUUUCUAGCUGCAAAGGAAUGCGCUUUCUGCCAUCCUUCUCUAGAACAAAACCGUUCUUCAGGGAAUCCUUCACUGAUAGGAUGCACAUCCCUUGUAUCUCUGAGUGCAUUAUGUAAAACACAGUUCACAGGCCUUGCUCCACUUACUUGCUUCAUUCUGUCAGCUUCCUGUCUGGGAGGAGAGCGGUGAAGUCAGGGCCUCUUGCUGAGUCGCUCACCUAAUAGUCCCAGAGCUGGCUGAAUAUCUCUGUACUGUUUCUUGUACAAAAAUUAAUAAAACAGGUCAGUCUAGGAUUCUAAUGAGCUAC
rnacentral:lncRNA from 1 species